AUAUUGACAGACGCUUUAAACCUGCCAUGAAGAAAACAACAGACGGUGUCCAAACUGACAACAAAAUUCACGAUACAGAGGAUAAAACGAGAAGCCAUCGUGUUUCCAGCGUACUUGCAGAUUACUGACUACAAAACACUUUUCCAGAUGUUACAGAAGGAAGCUCUCCUGUCAUAAUCAUUUUCUGCGUCACUGGAAAAUCUACAUUCUUGAUGUUGGGUUCAUCGAUAUACAGUCAAACACAAACAGCUGGAAUGUGUGCAGAAAUACUUUCAUAUUUACAUGUGUGAGAGAUAAAUGUUGUAAAGUUAUAUCUCAUAAUAAUUCAUUGUCUUUGUUUAACCUCUGUUUACAAAAUAAAACCAGUAUUGAACUACUU
rnacentral:lncRNA from 1 species